UUAAGCCAACAAUUAACACCAGUGUUACA
rnacentral:sRNA from 1 species